rnacentral:rRNA from 1 species
UACAGAGGUCUCAAGCGUUGUUCGGAUUCAUUGGGCGUAAAGGGUGCGUAGGCGGCGCGGUAAGUCGGGUGUGAAAUCUUGGAGCUUAACUCCGAAACUGCAUUCGAAACUGCCGUGACUCGAGUCCGGUAGGGGAGUGUGGAAUUCCCGGUGUAGCGGUGAAAUGCGCAGAUAUCGGGAGGAACACCAGUAGCGAAGGCGGCACUCUGGGCCGGUACUGACGCUGAGGAGCGAAAGCAUGGGGAGCGAACAGG